CCUACGGGAGGCAGCAGUGAGGAAUAUUGGUCAAUGGGCGGGAGCCUGAACCAGCCAAGUCGCGUGAGGGAAGACGGCCCUAUGGGUUGUAAACCUCUUUUGUCGGAGAACAAAACCCGGGACGUGUCCCGGACUGCGUGUAUCCGAAGAAAAAGCAUCGGCUAACUCCGUGCCAGCAGCCGCGGUAAUACGGAGGAUGCGAGCGUUAUCCGGAUUUAUUGGGUUUAAAGGGAGCGUAGGUGGAUUGUUAAGUCAGUUGUGAAAGUUUGCGGCUCAACCGUAAAAUUGCAGUUGAAACUGGCAGUCUUGAGUACAGUAGAGGUGGGCGGAAUUCGUGGUGUAGCGGUGAAAUGCUUAGAUAUCACGAAGAACUCCGAUUGCGAAGGCAGUUCACUGGACUGCAACUGACACUGAGGCUCGAAAGUGUGGGUAUCAAACAGGAUUAGAUACCCUUGUAGUC
rnacentral:rRNA from 1 species